rnacentral:rRNA from 1 species
AACCGGAUUAGAUACCCUGGUAGUCCACGCCGUAAACGAUGUCUACUAGCCGUUGGGGUCCUUGAGACUUUAGUGGCGCAGUUAACGCGAUAAGUAGACCGCCUGGGGAGUACGGCCGCAAGGUUAAAACUCAAAUGAAUUGACGGGGGCCCGCACAAGCGGUGGAGCAUGUGGUUUAAUUCGAUGCAACGCGAAGAACCUUACCUGGUCUUGACAUAGUGAGAAUCUUUCAGAGAUGAGGGAGUGCCUUCGGGAAUUCACAUACAGGUGCUGCAUGGCUGUCGUCAGCUCGUGUCGUGAGAUGUUGGGUUAAGUCCCGCAACGAGCGCAACCCUUUUCCUUAUUUGCCAGCGGGUUAAGCCGGGAACUUUAAGGAUACUGCCAGUGACAAACUGGAGGAAGGCGGGGACGACGUCAAGUCAUCAUGGCCCUUACGACCAGGGCUACACACGUGCUACAAUGGUAGGUACAGAGGGUUGCUACGCAGCGAUGUGAUGCUAAUCUCAAAAAGCCUAUCGUAGUCCGGAUUGGAGUCUGCAACUCGACUCCA